ensembl:rRNA 5S_rRNA 5S ribosomal RNA
UCCUGCAGCCAUAUCACCCUGCAACUCACAGCUGGCAGCCCACUGAAGCUAAGCAGGUGUGAGCCUGGUCAGUACCUGGAUGUGAGACCUCCUGGGAAAAACUAAGGUUGCUGCUGGAA